rnacentral:rRNA from 1 species
GACGAACGCUGGCGGCGUGCCUAAUACAUGCAAGUUGAGCGCUGAAGGUUGGUACUUGUACCCACUGGAUGAGCAGCGAACGGGUGAGUAACGCGUGGGGAAUCUGCCUUUGAGCGGGGGACAACAUUUGGAAACGAAUGCUAAUACCGCAUAAAAACUUUAAACACAAGUUUCAAGUUUGAAAGAUGCAAUUGCAUCACUCAAAGAUGAUCCCGCGUUGUAUUAGCUAGUUGGUGAGGUAAAGGCUCACCAAGGCGAUGAUACAUAGCCGACCUGAGAGGGUGGUCGGCCACAUUGGGACUGGGACACGGCCCAAACUCCUGCGGGAGGCAGCAGUAGGGAAACUUCGGCAAUGGACGCAAGUCUGACCGAGCAACGCCGCGUGAGUGAAGAAGGUUUUCGGGUCGUAAAACUCUGUUGGUAGAGAAGAACGUUGGUGAGAGUGGAAAGCUCAUCAAGUGACGGUAACUACCCAGAAAGGGACGGCUAACUACGUG